CCCGCGAGGGGAGUGGCAGACGGGUGAGUAACGCGUGGGAACAUACCCUCCGGUUCGGAAUAACUCAGGGAAACUUGAGCUAAUACCGUAUACGUGCGAGAGCAGAAAGAUUUAUCGCCGAAGGAUCGGCCCGCGUCCGAUUAGCUAGUUGGUGAGGUAAUGGCUCACCAAGGCGACGAUCGGUAGCUGGUCUGAGAGGAUGAUCAGCCACAUUGGGACUGAGACACGGCCCAAACUCCUACGGGAGGCAGCAGUGGGGAAUAUUGGACAAUGGGCGCAAGCCUGAUCCAGCCAUGCCGCGUGAGUGAUGAAGGCCUUAGGG
rnacentral:rRNA from 1 species